UACAGAGGGUGCGAGCGUUGUUCGGAAUUAUUGGGCGUAAAGGGCGCGUAGGCGGUGCGGUAAGUCACCUGUGAAAUCUCCUGGCUCAACUGGGAGCUUGCAGGCGAAACUGCCGUGCUGGAGUGUGGGAGAGGUGCGUGGAAUUCCUGGUGUAGCGGUGAAAUGCGUAGAUAUCAGGAGGAACACCUGUGGCGAAAGCGGCGCACUGGACCAUAACUGACGCUGAUGCGCGAAAGCUAGGGGAGCAAACAGG
rnacentral:rRNA from 1 species